rnacentral:piRNA from 1 species
UGUCAGUGGUCUGCCGUUCCUUCUGCAGC